rnacentral:rRNA from 1 species
GACGUAGGGGGCGAGCGUUGUCCGGAUUUAUUGGGCGUAAAGAGCGCGUAGGCGGCCCGUUAAGUCGGAUGUGAAAACCCGUGGCUCAACCACGGGCCUGCAUCCGAUACUGGCGGGCUCGAGGCAGGCAGGGGAGAUCGGAAUUCCUGGUGUAGCGGUGAAAUGCGCAGAUAUCAGGAGGAACACCGGUGGCGAAGGCGGGUCUCUGGGCCGAAAUUGACGCUGAGGAGCGAAAGCGUGGGGAGCGAACAGG